rnacentral:rRNA from 1 species
AGUGAACGCUGGCGGUAGGCCUAACACAUGCAAGUCGAACGGCAGCACAGUAAGAGCUUGCUCUUACGGGUGGCGAGUGGCGGACGGGUGAGGAAUACAUCGGAAUCUACUUUUUCGUGGGGGAUAACGUAGGGAAACUUACGCUAAUACCGCACACGACCUACGGGUGAAAGCAGGGGAUCUUCGGACCUUGCGCGAUUGAAUGAGCCGAUGUCGGAUUAGCUAGUUGGCGGGGUAAAGGCCCACCAAGGCGACGAUCCGUAGCUGGUCUGAGAGGAUGAUCAGCCACACUGGAACUGAGACACGGUCCAGACUCCUACGGGAGGCAGCAGUGGGGAAUAUUGGGCAAUGGGCGCAAGCCUGAUCCAGCCAUACCGCGUGGGUGAAGAAGGCCUUCGGGUUGUAAAGCCCUUUUGUUGGGAAAGAAAAGCAGCAGGUUAAUACCCCGCUGUUCUGACGGUACCCAAAGAAUAAGCACCGGCUAACUUCGUG